AUUGAACGCUGGCGGCAGGCCUAACACAUGCAAGUCGAGCGGAUGAAGAGAGCUUGCUCUCUGAUUUAGCGGCGGACGGGUGAGUAAUGCCUAGGAAUCUGCCUGGUAGUGGGGGAUAACGUUCCGAAAGGAACGCUAAUACCGCAUACGUCCUACGGGAGAAAGCAGGGGACCUUCGGGCCUUGCGCUAUCAGAUGAGCCUAGGUCGGAUUAGCUAGUUGGUGAGGUAAUGGCUCACCAAGGCUACGAUCCGUAACUGGUCUGAGAGGAUGAUCAGUCACACUGGAACUGAGACACGGUCCAGACUCCUACGGGAGGCAGCAGUGGGGAAUAUUGGACAAUGGGCGAAAGCCUGAUCCAGCCAUGCCGCGUGUGUGGAGGAGGUCUUCGGAUUGUAAAGCACUUUAAGUUGGGAGGAAGGGCAGUAAGUUAAUACCUUGCUGUUUUGACGUUACCGACAGAAUAAGCACCGGCUAACUUCGUGCCAGCAGCCGCCGUAACAC
rnacentral:rRNA from 1 species